rfam:Glycine soja cultivar W05 scaffold2946_7, whole genome shotgun sequence.
ACACAUUUGCAAAAGCCAACAAAAAGAAUCAACUAGAGUAUCUAUUUUUAUCAAUUUAGUAUUUGAUAUGUGAGCUAUUGGUUAUUAAAUUUUUUUUUUUAGGGAGAGGGCCCUUGACAGUAGCUUGCUACUAGGAUUGUCAUGUGUUGCCCAUGCCUUGCACUAAAGCAGGGACUUGGCACAUCCCAC